rnacentral:rRNA from 1 species
GUAAACCAAGGCCGCAACUUCCGCUGCCCGCCAGAGUACUACAAGUGAAAAACUUAAAACUCAAAGGACUUGACGGCAUUCCACAUCACACUAGAGGAGCCUGUCCUAUAAUCGAUAACCCACGUUUCACCUCACCUGUUCUUGCACCAGCCUAUAUACCGCCGUCCACAGCCCGCCUUACAAAAGCACAGCAGCGGGCCAACCAGAACACUAAAACAUCAGGUCAAGGUGUAGCUAACGUACAGGAAGAGAUGGGCUACAUUUUCUAACCAUAGAAAACCACCACCACCACCAUGAAACAGUGCACAAAGGAGGAUUUAGCAGUAAGCCGGACAAGACAGCCUGACUGAA